GACGAACGCUGGCGGCGUGCUUAACACAUGCAAGUCGAACGGAAAGGCCCUGCUUUUGUGGGGUGCUCGAGUGGCGAACGGGUGAGUAACACGUGAGUAACCUGCCCUUGACUUUGGGAUAACUUCAGGAAACUGGGGCUAAUACCGGAUAGGAGCUCCUGCUGCAUGGUGGGGGUUGGAAAGUUUCGGCGGUUGGGGAUGGACUCGCGGCUUAUCAGCUUGUUGGUGGGGUAGUGGCUUACCAAGGCUUUGACGGGUAGCCGGCCUGAGAGGGUGACCGGCCACAUUGGGACUGAGAUACGGCCCAGACUCCUACGGGAGGCAGCAGUGGGGAAUAUUGCACAAUGGGCGGAAGCCUGAUGCAGCAACGCCGCGUGCGGGAUGACGGCCUUCGGGUUGUAAACCGCUUUCGCCUGUGACGAAGCGUGAGUGACGGUAAUGGGUAAAGAAGCACCGGCUAACUACGUGCCAGCAGCCGCGGUGAUACGUAGGGUGCGAGCGUUGUCCGGAUUUAUUGGGCGUAAAGGGCUCGUAGGUGGUUGAUCGCGUCGGAAGUGUAAUCUUGGGGCUUAACCCUGAGCGUGCUUUCGAUACGGGUUGACUUGAGGAAGGUAGGGGAGAAUGGAAUUCCUGGUGGAGCGGUGGAAUGCGCAGAUAUCAGGAGGAACACCAGUGGCGAAGGCGGUUCUCUGGGCCUUUCCUGACGCUGAGGAGCGAAAGCGUGGGGAGCGAACAGGCUUAGAUACCCUGGUAGUCCACGCUGUAAACGGUGGGUACUAGGUGUGGGGUCCAUUCCACGGGUUCCGUGCCGUAGCUAACGCUUUAAGUACCCCGCCUGGGGAGUACGGCCGCAAGGCUAAAACUCAAAGGAAUUGACGGGGCCCCGCACAAGCGGCGGAGCAUGCGGAUUAAUUCGAUGCAACGCGUAGAACCUUACCUGGGUUUGACAUGGAUCGGGAGUGCUCAGAGAUGGGUGUGCCUCUUUUGGGGUCGGUUCACAGGUGGUGCAUGGCUGUCGUCAGCUCGUGUCGUGAGAUGUUGGGUUAAGUCCCGCAACGAGCGCAACCCUUGUUNCACUGUUGCCAGCACGUUAUGGUGGGGACUCAGUGGAGACCGCCGGGGUCAACUCGGAGGAAGGUGGGGAUGACGUCAAGUCAUCAUGCCCCUUAUGUCCAGGGCUUCACGCAUGCUACAAUGGCUGGUACAGAGAGUGGCGAGCCUGUAAGGGUGAGCGAAUCUCGGAAAGCCGGUCUCAGUUCGGAUUGGGGUCUGCAACUCGACCUCAUGAAGUCGGAGUCGCUAGUAAUCGCAGAUCAGCAACGCUGCGGUGAAUACGUUCCCGGGGCUUGUACACACCGCCCGUCAAGUCAUGAAAGUUGGUAACACCCGAAGCCGGUGGCCUAACCGUUGUGGGGGAGCCGUCGAAGGUGGGACUGGUGAUUAGGACUAAGUCGUAACAAGGUAGCCGUACCGGAAGG
rnacentral:rRNA from 1 species